rnacentral:tRNA from 1 species
AGGAUUAUAAUUUAAAAAAAAUAUUUAAUUUGCAAUUAAAAUAUAUUGAAUAAUCAAUUUAUCUU